rnacentral:lncRNA from 10 species
CAAGACCAGCCUGGCCAACAUGGUGAAACCCCGUCACCAUUAAAAAUACAAAAAUUAGCCGGGUGUGGUGGUGCGCGCCUGUAAUCCCAGCUACUUGGCAGGCUGAGGCAGGAGAAUCACUCAAACCUGGGAGGCGGAGGUUGCAGUGAGCUGAGAUUUCUCCACUGCACUCCAGCCUGGUAACAGAGUGAGACUCCAUCUCAAGAAAAAAAAAAAAAAUCCCCAUUUUAUGUUCUUUAUAAGGGUGGUACAUUAUUAAUUGAUUUAUGAAGGACUAGGUAGAAAUGCAGAAGGAAAAGCUUCCAUCUGUGUGUUGGGCUGUGUGAUUUGUUUGGCUGGGUUCGUUCUUUUGUGUCUGCGUGAAUCAGGAAUCAUGUGUGAAGCAGCCCUUGCAUGUUUUUUUCCAGUUCAGAUCCAGGAAGUAUAAAGAAAGCACAAAAGGCCCUCUGGGCCCCUCUAGGGCAGACCAUUUCCCUCUGAAAAUGUCACCACAGCUGCCUGAGCUCCCCCUCCCCCAUCUCUCUUCCCUGGCACUACCUGGGACACUUCUGAGCGGAAUUGGGAAAAGCACAGAGAAUGGAGUCACAGAGACCUAGACUCGGAUCCCAGCUCUGCCUCUCAGCUGGGUGGUCUCAGGCAAGCCAUCGGCUUCUCAGAGCCCCAGGUCUCUCGUCUGUAAAAUGGGAAUGACACCACCAAUCCAGGCAGGUGCUGGAGAGAAACAGAGGCCAGGGGCAGGAAGGAGAAAGACACAGAGAAACAGAGAGGGAGAGACAGACAGAAGGAAAAAGGGAAGAGACAGGGUGUAAGAAAACAGGAAAGAAAGACAGAAAAGAGGCCGGGCGUGGUGGCUCACGCCUGGAAUCCCAGCACUUUGGGAGGCUGAGGCAGGUGGAUCACCUGAGGUCAGGAGUUCAAGACCAGCCUCGCCAACUUGGAGAAAUCCUGUCUCUACUAAAAAUACAAAAAAAAUUAGCUGGGCAUGGUGGCAGGCACCUGUAAUCCCAGCUACUCGAGAGGCUAAGGCAGGAGAGUUGCUUGAACUUGGGGGGUGGAGGUUGCGGUGAGCCGAGAUCGUGCCACUAUACUCCAGCCUGGGUGACAAGAGCAAAACUCUGUCUCAAAAAAAAAAAAAAAAAAGACAGAAAAGGGGCAGCAAUGCGGACGUCUGGUUGCAGACGUUGGGAGGCUAUCGGGCCUGCCCACUGGCAGGGGACUUGUAGCGACCACCCACCCAAUCUCGGGCUCUUCUGCAGGCUCAGUGCU